AGAUCUACAAAAGGUGCACAGGUGGACAAAGAAGACCCUUGCACUCAAGCGUGCACAUACUUCCGAAGAAGCCAGCAACAGACAAGAGUACAAAGUGUUCAAAGUUCAAUAAUGAUCCUUCCGCAGGUUCACCUACGGA
rnacentral:misc_RNA from 1 species